CAACCCAUCAUUUUAGAUAAAAAUUAAUUCAGGUCAGGCACUUGGCUUUUGCCUAUAAUCCUAGCCCUUUGGGAGGCUGAGGCAGGCAGAUCACUUAAGCUCAGGAGUUGGAGACCAGCCUGGGCAACAUGGCAAAACCUGUCUCUACAAAAAAUAUAAAAAUUAGCCAGCCAUGGUGGUGUGUGCCAACUUGGAAGGCUGAGGUGGGAGGAUCACUUGAACCCAAGAGGUUGAGGCUGCAGUGAGCUGUGAUCACACCAGUGCACUCCAGCCUGGACAACAAAGUGAAACCCUGUCUCAAAAAAAUAAAAUAAAUUAGAGAUUCAGAAAGGUAAAUAACUUGCCAAGGUCAUACAGUAGAACUCAGGGCUUUUGGCUCUCAAAGAUCCCACAACAUUGUGCUGCAAAUAUUAAAAGCAGAUCUUAUGAAAAGUGGCUUGUCAUAAUUAGAGAAGACACUCAUAAUUACCAUAUUCUUGCUUUGUAUGCAAAGAGCACUUCCUGAGAUUUAUGCAAAGAAUAAUUAAAUAUGGCCUGCAUUUGCCAUCUUGUCUUGCAAUUAUUCUACUUUAGGUUGUUAAUAAUUACUCAACUAGAUGAAAUUAAGGAUACAGGUAGAUAUCCAUAAAGAGCGGAAUGUACACAAAUGCCAAGUGUGUGAUAUCAACACUAAGUGCUAUGAGAGGUCAGGAGUGGGCGAUGAAUUCAAAUUAACUUGGGGUGGUGAAGAAAAAAAGAUGAGUGAAAAAAGAAAGAAGGAACAUUAAAAGAUUUGUUAUCUGUGAAUGUUGCACAUAUUUAAGAACACUUGUACUACACAUGCUUUUAUUGAUAAUAUUGACCUUUAGUUUACAUGGAACUUGGGACCCCCAAUUCUAAGACAAUAUUGCAGUCUCAUUUCCCACACAUAUCCCCUACUUAAAAAGAGAUACACUUGGAAGAUGUGCAUAAAGCAUACAUCCACAUACUCAUAAACCUGCGUUUUCUUUGGUUCAGACAGCUUGGAUAAACUAGGGAAGUUACUAGAUUUGUCUGCAUGUAACUAAACAAUAGAAUAAAAAUGAAAGCAGGAGGCUGAGGCAGGCGAAUCACUUGAACCUGGGAGGCAGAGGUUGCAGUGAGCCAAGAUCAUGCCAUUGCACUCUAUCCUGGGUGACAAAGCGAGAUUUCAUCUCGAAAAAAAAAGGAAAAAAAGAAAAAAGAAAGAAAGGUCGGGCAUGGUGACUCACACCUGUAACCUCAACAUUUUCGGAGGCCAAGGCAGGAGGAUCGUUUGAGGCCAGAAGUUUGAGACCAGCCUGAGGGACAUAACGAGACCCCCAUUUCUAUAAAAAAAAAAAAAGUGAAAAAUGCAGUAACUGAUGUGCUCCUGAAUACACACCUUUUGGAUUUCAUAGGCAUAUCCUUUCCAAUGUCACCACCAGCAGAUUGGAAGUAUUAGCUCAGACUUCAUUCACUAAACCAAACCCAUGGCAGAAAAUAAGUAUAAAUGUUUCUUCUUGAAAUAAUGUUAAGCUCCACUACUUAAACUAAAUUACUUAUUUACAAUAGAUGAGAAAUCUCAUGUUUACCCACCGUAAGACUGAGUCGAGUAUUUUGAAACAUCUUGAACUUUCCAGGAAUGACUGUGAAACGUGAAAAAGCCCCUUUUUAGAGCAAAGGCAGUGUGUCACAGUGGUUAUGUGCGUGGACUCUGAAGCCACAUUGUCAGGCUGGGUCCUGGCUCUGCCACUCUCUAGUUCCAUGAUGUCAGGUAAAUCACUGAAUCUCUCUGGGCCUCAGCUUCCUUAUCUGUGAUAUGGGGUUAAUAGUAACUAUCUUAAAGGUUGUUGUGAAGAGUGAAUAAUUACCAGUUAGCAGUUCAAAAAUACUUAACAUAGACCCAUUGCUCGGCUCAUCCAUUCGCUGGUUCAUUCGCUGAAAGCCAGCUGUAUGCCAGGCACUAUUCCUGGUGUAGUAGAUGUAGAGGUGAACCAGAUGGACCAGAAGUGUGCUGCCUACAUAAGCCUAGGAUCUAGGGAGGGAGACAGACAAGUGAACAAAAAUAAACCCAUCAUGUAAUGCCAGCGGGGGUAAGUGCAUAGGGAAGAGUCAGAGGAUAGAGAGUGUCAGGGCCGGGCGGGAGGCUAUUUUAGGCAGAGGAGUCAGGGAACACUGCUUUGAGAAGUGGAAAUGAAUCCAGUGAAGAGUUUUUCACGGCAAGAAUGGCAGAGGGAAGUGUGGAAGACACAGUGACUACCCUGUGAGACUUAUGCUUUAAGGAGGUUCGACCCCAGCCUACAGAAAUGGGAUUGCUUUUAAAAGCCGUUCUCGUUGAUGCUGAUGCCUACAGGAGAAGUGAACAGCAAAGAUGAGAGAGAAGCAAGGCCAGAAGGAAGGCAGAGAUCAGGAAAGGUUUCAGCUCAAGCUCACUCUGGGCAGACCACCCCACACACCUGCGGA